GUUAAAAUCCUAUAUGUGUUCCAGUACAGUAAACGUUUGUUUUGGACUGCAUAACUCCUUUAAUAUAACCAUAAAUAAUGUCAUAAAAGGUCUGUUCAUUCAAUAAACCGGGCAAAAUCUGUAUGAACGUAUACGUAGAAAUAAUAUUGAGGACACACUGCACGAUAAUGAAACCUUUAGUUUGAUUAAAAGUCGAUUAAUAUUUCUGUUUUUAUUUUUUAUUAAAUAAAUAUUCUAUGUUGGCUCUAAACAGGCAACUUUCUUUCUUGGAAGCAGCACUGGAAGAAGCACUUUACUUUCAUCUUUUAUAUCUUUAUUUACUUUUAUUAUGUUAUUAUUGGCGGAGGCGCGUAAGGCGCGUGUCCGUAUACCGAAUGCUUUGAUCACGUGAUUAUUCAAACCAGGAGACGCGCAAUCUGGAUUAACCGCUGUUCUCCUCAGACGAGUGUUUCGGUGGUAUUAUGAGAUCCCUUUCUUGGUGUGUCUUGAUGUUUUAUAUUGGCUAAAGACAAGAUAUGUCUGCAAAUGCUGGUUCCAUGUCACAUUGCUUAUUCGAGACUAGAUCUACAAAUAACACUGCAGAUUUUGUUACCAUCAACUUGCAUUAUACAACUGACAGACUGAAACGGUUGGACUCAAAAAUCUACAUUUGUGUUCCACUGGAGAAACAAAGUCACCUACAUCUUGGAUGGCCUGGGGACUACCUGACCUGUUCCUGUUAAGAGCUAGUCACUCUUUGUGGAAUGUUCCUGGCCCAUUUUUCCGAAGUUUUUACAAAAGUUUUUUCAAUGACCUCAAAAUUGAU